GGAAGUGGAUCCAUGUAGGCUUCUGAGAUACCUAGCCUACAUACUAGGGAACCAGUCUUCAGAGAAGAGGAUGACUCAUGUGGCUGGCCCUGGGGAUGGAGCUGAACUUGGAGCAUGGGUGGGAGUCUCAGGCUCUGCCUGACCACAGGAGAAGGGAUAUUGUCCUCAACUUGUCCAUUCCUGAGGCUACUGAGCAACAUCUACAGAGGAGAAGGUAACCAUAGCUGCAAUGAAUUCACUGGUUGCGAUGACCCAACCUCCACUCUUGAUUCAUCACUGCCCACUGAGAGCCACAACUUUAGCACUGGCCACUGUCCCCUAGGCAUCCCUGCCUGAGAGCCAUCGGCGCUUGCAGGGGUACCAGCCACUGGGUCUUUGGAGUCACAACCUGGACAAAGAAAGUAAAAAACUUCAGUCUCGGGCUGGAGAGAUGGCUCAGCGGUUAAGAGCACUGA